AUUGAACGCUGGCGGCAUGCUUUACACAUGCAAGUCGAACGGCAGCGCGGGGGCAACCCUGGCGGCGAGUGGCGAACGGGUGAGUAAUGCAUCGGAACGUAUCCUGUAAUGGGGGAUAACGUAGCGAAAGUUACGCUAAUACCGCAUACGCUCGAGAGAGGAAAGUGGGGGAUCGCAAGACCUCACGUUAUAGGAGCGGCCGAUGUCCGAUUAGCUAGUUGGUGGGGUAAAGCCUACCAAGGCGACGAUCGGUAGCUGGUCUGAGAGGAUGAUCAGCCACACUGGGACUGAGACACGGCCCAGACUCCUACGGGAGGCAGCAGUGGGGAAUUUUGGACAAUGGGCGAAAGCCUGAUCCAGCCAUGCCGCGUGC
rnacentral:rRNA from 1 species